rnacentral:rRNA from 1 species
AACGAACGCUGGCGGCAGGCUUAACACAUGCAAGUCGAGCGCCCCGCAAGGGGAGCGGCAGACGGGUGAGUAACGCGUGGGAACGUACCUUUUGGUUCGGAACAACUCCGGGAAACUGGAGCUAAUACCGGAUAAGCCCUAACGGGGAAAGAUUUAUCGCCGAAAGAUCGGCCCGCGUCUGAUUAGCUAGUUGGUGAGGUAACGGCUCACCAAGGCGACGAUCAGUAGCUGGUCUGAGAGGAUGAUCAGCCACACUGGGACUGAGACACGGCCCAGACUCCUACGGGAGGCAGCAGUGGGGAAUAUUGGACAAUGGGCGCAAGCCUGAUCCAGCCAUGCCGCGUGAGUGAUGAAGGCCUUAGGGUUGUAAAGCUCUUUUGUCCGGGAAGAUAAUGACGGUACCGGAAGAAUAAGCCCCGGCUAACUUCGUG